CUUGGUCAUUUAGAGGAAGUAAAAGUCGUAACAAGGUUUCCGUAGGUGAACCUGCGGAAGGAUCAUUACAGAAAGUAAACGCGGGUCAAACCGCGAACUUCUAAACCUUUGACGAUUGACUCAUGUUGCCUCGGCGGGUUCGCCCGCCAGAGGAUACAUCAAAACUCCUGUUUUAACGGUGUUGUCUGAGCUACAAGCAACGAAUCAAAACUUUCAACAACGGAUCUCUUGGUCCUGGCAUCGAUGAAGAACGCAGCGAAAUGCGAUAAGUAGUGUGAAUUGCAGAAUUCAGUGAAUCAUCGAAUCUUUGAACGCACAUUGCGCCCCUUGGUAUCCCGAGGGGCAUGCCUGUUCGAGCGUCAUUUCACCACUCAAGCCUGGCUUGGUGUUGGGCGACGUCCCUUUGGGACACGCCUCGAAACGCUCGGCGGCGUGGCACCGGCUUUAAGCGUAGCAGAAUCUUUCGCUUUAAAAGUCGGGGCCCCGUCUGCCGGAAGACCUACUCGCAAGGUUGACCUCGGAUCAGGUAGGGAUACCCGCUGAACUUAAGCAUAUCAAUAAGCGGAGGA
rnacentral:rRNA from 1 species